GACGAACGCUGGCGGCGGGCUUAACACAUGCAAGUCGAACGGAAAGGCCCUGCUUGCUGGGGACUCGAGUGGCGAACGGGUGAGUAACACGUGGGUGAUCUGCCUUGCACUUGGGGAUAAGCCUGGGAAACUGGUGUUAAUACCGGAUAGGAGCCAUUUUUAGUGUGAUGGUUGGAAAGUUUUUUCGGUGAAUGAUUAGCUCGCGGCGUAUCAGCUUGUUAGUGUGGUAAUGGCGUACCAAGGCGUCGACGGGUAGCCGGCCUGAGAGGGUGGACGGACACAUUGGGACUGAGAUACGGACCAGACUCCUACGGGAAGCAGCAGUGGCGAAGAUUGCACGAGCGGCGCGAGCCUGAUGCAGAGACGCCGCGUGGGGGAGGACGGCCUUCGGGUUGUAAACUCAUUUCGCUAGCGACGAAGCUUUUUGUGACGGUACCUAGAGAAGAAGCCCCGGCUAACUACGUG
rnacentral:rRNA from 1 species